CAGGUACUCCCUCCGUUCCGAAUUACUUGUCUUGGAUUUGUCUAGAUAGCGAUGUAUCUAGACUCAUUUUAGUGCUAGAUACCUCCGUAUCUAGACAAAACUAAGACAAGUAAUUCGGAACGGAGGAAGUAUAUU
rfam:Triticum urartu cultivar G1812 contig971231, whole genome shotgun sequence.